CGCGGCGGAGCCAAGAUGGCGGCGUCCAAAGAGGAAUUGCAGUAACAUGAAAAGGAAUUCUUCCUAAUGGACAACUACUGAACAGAUUGGGAUUCCUGAGAAAGAUUGAGCCACGUUGGUCUGGAAUCAUGUUAAAGAAGCCAGUGCUGGUGGAAUCCCUGAUCGUGUUCGUCAUCGUUCUCUUUGUGCACACAGUGGUGUGGGACCGGUAUUCCUGGUGCGCCGUCGCUCUUGCCAUCCAGGCUUUUUAUGCCCAAUUCAAAUGGGACCGUCUGCUCCAGCUGGGUGGGGCUGUGUUCCAGUUCCGUACAGCAGCAAACAGUGGCCUCCUGCCAGCUAGCAUGGUCAUCCCCUUGCUGGGGAUAGUGAUGAAGGAGAGGUGCAAGGCUGCUGGCAUUGUGUACUUCGAACGCUUUGGCAUAGUCGUGGCUUCCACUGGCAUGCUGGUUGCUCUCUUUCUGUCCGUAAUAGCGGUUGGCAUCACAAAACCUGUGCCAACCAACACUUGCAUACUUACUGGUAUUGCUGGCAGUAUAAUUAUCUAUACCAUGAAGCACUCUUUGACUGUUUCAGAAGUGAUAGAGGUCCUAGAAGUGCUGCUAAUUUUUGUCUACCUCAGUAUGAUCUUGCUGUACUUGUUGCCUCGAUGUUUUACUCCUGGAGAAGCAUUGCUAGUUCUUGGAGGUAUAAGUUUUGUUCUCAAUCAGCUCAUUAAACGCUCACUGAAUGUAGUCGAGGGCAGAGGUGAUCCCAUAGACUUUUUCCUUCUGGUAGCAGUUGUUGGAAUUGUUCUUCUUGGGCUUUUUUUCAGUGUGCUCUUCAUUUUCAUGGAUUCAGGUACAUGGAUCUCCUCCAUGUUUUUCCACAUGAUGACAGCAGUGCUAGGCUUAGGGGUCAUCAUGCCUUGGCUGUACCGACUGAUCCAGAGGAACCCUUUGUUUUGGCUACUCCAGUUUCUGUUUCAGACACAGACAAGAGUUUACCUUCUUGUAUACUGGACCUUUUUGGCUGCUUCAGCAUGUGGCAUAGUUUUCUACCAGAAUGCUAAGAGAUCAUCUGAAUCUAAAAAACACCAGGCCUCGACUAUAACCAGGAAAUAUUUCCAUUUCAUUGUUGUAGCUACUUAUGUUCCUGGACUAAUUUAUGACCACCAGCUUCUCUACGUUGCUGCAGUACUGUGUCUGGCAGUGUUUAUCUUCUUAGAGUAUAUUCGGUACUUCAGGAUCAAACCAUUUGGCCAAACCCUUAGGCAUCUGCUGUCUCUCUUCUUGGAUGAAAGAGAUAGUGGACCUCUAAUCUUGACUCAUAUUUAUCUCCUCCUUGGCAUGUCCCUCCCAGUAUGGUUGUUUCCCAGAGCUUGUGCUCCUAAAGGUACCUUGUCUGGGGCAGGAGCACUGGUCCCCUACUCUGGGGUGCUGGCAGUAGGGGUAGGAGACACUAUUGCCUCUGUUUUUGGCAGUACAAUGGGGGAAAUCAAAUGGCCAGGAACAAAGAAGACCUUUGAAGGGACAAUGACAGCUAUUUUUGCUCAGAUCAUUGCUGUGGCUCUUAUUCUGAUCUUUGACAGUAACGUGAAUCUGAACUCCAGCUAUGCCUGGAUUUUGGCAUCUGUGAGCUUAGUUUCUCUUUUGGAAGCUUACACUACCCAAAUCGAUAAUCUGCUGUUGCCUCUCUACCUCCAGAUAAUGUUUAUGGCAUAGAAGCGCUUCCAGGAACAGAGGUUUCUCCCUUUCUAAAGAAAAGUGGUAAUAGAAUAUGCACUGUAAUGAGAGCUCAAAGCUGAUCUGAGCACUGCUUUUGGUACAGCAGAUAAAAUUGUUAAAAACGGACAUGAAAAAGGACCUAUUUUAAAUAAAGGCUUUGGUUUGAUCUUGGGUUUUUGCCUUUAAAACAGCACGAGCUGCUUGAAGUUCUCACUGGAACUCAAAUAUGACUGACAAAAAUAGCAUCUGUGUUUAAUAAUCCAAUUUAGGUUUCUUCUGGAUGCCCAGAGGCAAAGGAAGUAGAGGAAGAAGAGAUCAGACUUGAUGAAUCAAGGCUACAGUCAAAACUGUGGGCCUGUUUCACUACAAGAAAGGACCCAGUGGUUUAAGACCUUCUUUACAUUAAAGUCUUAAAUCUCAGUGGCCUGGCAAGGAAGACUGAGUCUUGCAGGAGAAGCUUCUGAAAUAAUACUGAAGUGCAAAGAAAAGAUACAGGAGCAGUUUUAAUCAGCCUCACCUUAGUAGAUUCUGGAUUAAAUAAAUGAUCGGGAUGACUGUCCUUCCUUUCCCAGUGCCCUGGAUUCUUUGUUUCUAGGUCAGAUAUCGAUUUAAAACUAAACAUAGUGUCAGUCGUAUGCCACCUUUUAUUUAAUUAAAAACACUUAUAUUAGACUCAUCUGAUGGACUAGUGGCCAAGAGCAAAGUGAAGCAGUUAAUAACCUGCUGAAAAAUGUGGCUGUAGAUUUGGCAACAGCAUAGGAAGAGAUCUUUGUAGUAAAUAAAGUUGUUCUUU